UACGUAGGGGGCGAGCGUUAUCCGGAUUUAUUGGGCGUAAAGCGUGUGUAGGCGGUCUAUUAAGUCUAAGAUCAAAGUCCGAGGCUCAACCUCGGUUCGUCUUAGAAACUGGUAGACUUGAGUGUGGUAGAGGCAAGUGGAAUUUCUAGUGUAGCGGUUAAAUGCGUAGAUAUUAGAAGGAACACCAGUGGCGAAGGCGGCUUGCUGGGCCAUUACUGACGCUGAGACACGAAAGCGUGGGGAGCAAAUAGGAUUAGAUACCCUAGUAGUCCACGCCGUAAACGAUGAGUACUAAGUGUCGGGAAACCGGUGCUGAAGUUAACACAUUAAGUACUCCGCCUGAGUAGUACGGUCGCAAGGCUGAA
rnacentral:rRNA from 1 species